rnacentral:misc_RNA from 1 species
GGCUGGUAAAUUUGAUGCUGUUGUCGAGAGAAAGUCCGGUGAUUUUGUGAUCCAGAUGCCUGUACCGAAAACUUAUGGGUUGGAAUCCAAACUUGAAGAAAUCUGGAGAUGGAUUGAAGACCCAAGUGUGGAAAUUAUUGGGUUAUAUGGAAUGGGAGGCGUGGGUAAAACCACCCUCCUCAGAAAGAUCUACAAUAAGAUCUGCGAAAAGAGUGAUUAUGUCGUGAUUUUUGUUGAGAGGUCUGAAC